rnacentral:rRNA from 1 species
ACUCCUACGGGAGGCAGCAGUGGGGAAUAUUGGACAAUGGGCGCAAGCCUGAUCCAGCAAUACCGCGUGUGUGAAGAAGGCCUUAGGGUUGUAAAGCACUUUCAAUUGGGAGGAAAACCUGCCGGUCAAUACCCGGCAGCUUGACAUUACCUUUAGAAGAAGCACCGGCUAACUCCGUGCCAGCAGCCGCGGUAAUACGGAGGGUGCGAGCGUUAAUCGGAAUUACUGGGCGUAAAGCGUGCGUAGGCGGUUCGUUAAGUCAGAUGUGAAAGCCCCGGGCUUAACCUGGGAACUGCAUUUGAAACUGGCGGACUAGAGUUGAGUAGAGGGGAGUGGAAUUUCAGGUGUAGCGGUGAAAUGCGUAGAUAUCUGAAGGAACACCAGUGGCGAAGGCGACUCCCUGGACUCAAACUGACGCUGAGGUACGAAAGCGUGGGUAGCAAACAGGAUUAGAUACCCUGGUAGUCCACGCCGUAAACGAUGUCAACUAGCCGUUGGUCCUAUUUACAGGAUUAGUGGCGCAGCUAACGCAUUAAGUUGACCGCCUGGGGAGUACGGCCGCAAGGUUAAAACUCAAAGGAAUUGACGGGG